rnacentral:rRNA from 1 species
UGGGGAAUCUUGCACAAUGGGGGCAACCCUGAUGCAGCGACGCCGCGUGAGCGAUGAAGCCCUUCGGGGUGUAAAGCUCUUUCGGCAGGAACGAUAAUGACGGUACCUGAAGAAGAAGCUGCGGCUAACUACGUGCCAGCAGCCGCGGUAAUACGUAGGCAGCAAGCGUUGUUCGGAGUUACUGGGCGUAAAGAGUGUGUAGGUGGUUCUCUAAGUUUGGUGUGAAAUCUCCCGGCUCAACUGGGAGGGUGCGCCGAAAACUGGAGGGCUUGAGUGUGGGAGAGGAAAGCGGAAUUCCUGGUGUAGCGGUGAAAUGCGUAGAUAUCAGGAGGAACACCUGCGGUGUAGACGGCUUUCUGGACCAUUACUGACACUGAGACACGAAAGCGUGGGGAGCAAACAGGAUUAGAUACCCCUGUAGUCC